rnacentral:rRNA from 1 species
AUGGACUCCGGCGGCGACUCGUCCGGCGGGGGCGCGGCGGCGGCGGCGGCCAAGUGGCGGACGGACGCGACGCGGGCCUUCCAGUACUACCUGGACCGCUCCACGCCGCACGCCACGGGCCGCUGGCUCGGCACGCUCGUCGUCGCCGCCGUCUACGCGCUCCGGGUCUUGUCCAUCCACGGCUUCUACAUCGUCAGCUACGGCCUCGGGAUCUACCUCCUCAACCUCCUCAUCGGCUUCCUCUCCCCCAUGGUCGACCCGGAGCUCGACCCCUCCGCCGCCGCACACGACGGGCCCGCCCUCCCCACCCGCGGAUCCGACGAGUUCAAGCCAUUCAUCAGGAGGCUCCCAGAGUUCAAGUUCUGCAGCAGCAUUCGGCUAAUCACACCAGGCAGGAUAUAUCGAGUGCAAAUGUACGCAAUCACAAAGGCUUUUGUUAUAGCUUUUGUGAUGACAUUCUUCUCCGUGUUCGACGUACCUGUGUUCUGGCCUAUACUGCUCUGCUACUGGAUUGUACUCUUUGUGCUGACGAUGAAGCGCCAGAUUCUGCACAUGGUCAAGUACAAAUAUGUGCCCUUCAACAUCGGGAAGCAGAAAUACGGCAGGAAGAAGGGUGGCGCGAGCAGCAGCUCGUCAAAAGACUGA